rnacentral:rRNA from 1 species
GCGUGACGGCAGCUACACAUGCAGUCGAGCGGUAGCACAGAGAGCUUGCUCUCGGGUGACGAGCGGCGGACGGGUGAGUAAUGUCUGGGAAACUGCCUGAUGGAGGGGGAUAACUACUGGAAACGGUAGCUAAUACCGCAUAACGUCGCAAGACCAAAGUGGGGGACCUUCGGGCCUCAUGCCAUCAGAUGUGCCCAGAUGGGAUUAGCUGGUAGGUGGGGUAACGGCUCACCUAGGCGACGAUCCCUAGCUGGUCUGAGAGGAUGACCAGCCACACUGGAACUGAGACACGGUCCAGACUCCUACGGGAGGCAGCAGUGGGGAAUAUUGCACAAUGGGCGCAAGCCUGAUGCAGCCAUGCCGCGUGUGUGAAGAAGGCCUUCGGGUUGUAAAGCACUUUCAGCGGGGAGGAAGGCGGUGAGGUUAAUAACCUCAUCGAUUGACGUUACCCGCAGAAGAAGCACCGGCUAACUCCGUGCCAGCAGCCGCGGUAAUACGGAGGGUGCAAGCGUUAAUCGGAAUUACUGGGCGUAAAGCGCACGCAGGCGGUCUGUCAAGUCGGAUGUGAAAUCCCCGGGCUCAACCUGGGAACUGCAUUCGAAACUGGCAGGCUAGAGUCUUGUAGAGGGGGGUAGAAUUCCAGGUGUAGCGGUGAAAUGCGUAGAGAUCUGGAGGAAUACCGGUGGCGAAGGCGGCCCCCUGGACAAAGACUGACGCUCAGGUGCGAAAGCGUGGGGAGCAAACAGGAUUAGAUACCCUGGUAGUCCACGCUGUAAACGAUGUCGAUUUGGAGGUUGUGCCCUUGAGGCGUGGCUUCCGGAGCUAACGCGUUAAAUCGACCGCCUGGGGAGUACGGCCGCAAGGUUAAAACUCAAAUGAAUUGACGGGGGCCCGCACAAGCGGUGGAGCAUGUGGUUUAAUUCGAUGCAACGCGAAGAACCUUACCUGGUCUUGACAUCCACAGAACUUAGCAGAGAUGCUUUGGUGCCUUCGGGAACUGUGAGACAGGUGCUGCAUGGCUGUCGUCAGCUCGUGUUGUGAAAUGUUGGGUUAAGUCCCGCAACGAGCGCAACCCUUAUCCUUUGUUGCCAGCGGUUAGGCCGGGAACUCAAAGGAGACUGCCAGUGAUAAACUGGAGGAAGGUGGGGAUGACGUCAAGUCAUCAUGGCCCUUACGACCAGGGCUACACACGUGCUACAAUGGCAUAUACAAAGAGAAGCGACCUCGCGAGAGCAAGCGGACCUCAUAAAGUAUGUCGUAGUCCGGAUUGGAGUCUGCAACUCGACUCCAUGAAGUCGGAAUCGCUAGUAAUCGUAGAUCAGAAUGCUACGGUGAAUACGUUCCCGGGCCUUGUACACACCGCCCGUCACACCAUGGGAGUGGGUUGCAAAAGAAGUAGGUAGCUUAACCUUCGGGAGGGCGCUUACCACUUGGAUUCG